CGGUCGCAUCACAUUUUAACACCGGUUCCGGUUCGGUAACCGAAGUUAAGCAACGCCGAGCCUGGUCAGUACCUAGAUGGGAGACCGCUUGGAAAUACCAAUUGCAGU